rnacentral:rRNA from 1 species
AUCGAACGCUGGCGGCGGGCUUAACACAUGCAAGUCGAGCGCCCCGCAAGGGGAGCGGCAGACGGGUGAGUAACGCGUGGGAAUCUACCCAUCUCUACGGAAUAACGCAUGGAAACGUGUGCUAAUACCGUAUACGUCCUUCGGGAGAAAGAUUUAUCGGAGAUGGAUGAGCCCGCGUUGGAUUAGCUAGUUGGUGGGGUAAAGGCCUACCAAGGCGACGAUCCAUAGCUGGUCUGAGAGGAUGAUCAGCCACACUGGGACUGAGACACGGCCCAGACUCCUACGGGAGGCAGCAGUGGGGAAUAUUGGACAAUGGGCGCAAGCCUGAUCCAGCCAUGCCGCGUGAGUGAUGAAGGCCCUAGGGUUGUAAAGCUCUUUCACCGGUGAAGAUAAUGACGGUAACCGGAGAAGAAGCCCCGGCUAACUUCGUGCCAGCCGCCGCGGUAAAAC